rnacentral:rRNA from 1 species
GAUUAACGCUGGCGGCGUGCAUAACACAUGCAAGUCGAACGAUGAAACUUAACUGAUUUCUUCGGAAUGAUUUUAAGUGGAUUAGUGGCGGACGGGUGAGUAACGCGUGAGUAACCUGCCUUGGAGAAGGGGAUAGCCUUUGGAAACGAAGAAUAAUACCCUAUGAUAUGAUAAUAUCUCAUGAUAUUAUCAUCAAAGAUUUAUCGCUCUAAGAUGGGCUUGCGUCUGAUUAGUUAGUUGGUGAGGUAACAGCUCACCAAGGCAGCGAUCAGUAGCCGGCUUGAGAGAGUGUACGGCCACAUUGGGACUGAGACACGGCCCAGACUCCUACGGGAGGCAGCAGUGGGGAAUUUUGCACAAUGGGGGAAACCCUGAUGCAGCGACGCCGCGUGAUUUAGAAGGCCUUCGGGUUGUAAAAAUCUUUUGUAUGGGAAGAAAAUGACAGUACCAUACGAAUAAGGACCGGCUAAUUACGUG